AAAACUGAUCGGAACCUUCGGCCUUUUGGGGCUCGUGGUUGUGUGGUCGCUGGCCGGCAUGGCGAUUGCCCAAACCCCUUGGCUUGCGGCAUCGAAGCUUGCUCAGGCGAUCUUCUANNNNNNNNNNNGGCCUCGGCUGGGUCCUGCCCGCAAUGCCGCUGAUCGCAUGGAUGUCGCGGCCGGAUCCUCAGCCGUAGUUGGUGGCCGGUUCCGGCGAAUGCGCCUUC
rnacentral:misc_RNA from 1 species